rnacentral:tRNA from 1 species
GAUGAGGUGGCAGAGUUAAUGCGGUAAGUUUAAGCCUUAUUUAUGAAGAUUUUUACUUCCCUUGUUU